UACAGAGGGUGCGAGCGUUGUCCGGAAUCACUGGGCGUAAAGGGCGCGUAGGCGGUGACUUAAGCGUGUGGUGAAAGCUCGGGGCUCAACCCCGAGUCGGCCGUGCGAACUGGGUCACUGGAGCAGAUCAGAGGCAGGCGGAAUUCCGGGUGUAGCGGUGGAAUGCGUAGAGAUCCGGAAGAACACCGGUAGCGAAGGCGGCCUGCUGGGAUCUUGCUGACGCUGAGGCGCGACAGCGUGGGGAGCAAACAGG
rnacentral:rRNA from 1 species